rnacentral:rRNA from 1 species
GAUCCUGGCUCAGGAUGAACGCUGGCGGCACGCUUAACACAUGCAAGUCGAGCGGAGGAAGGAGUUAAAGCACUACGGUGUGGAGACUGCGGACUCAGUGGCGGACGGGUGAGGAACGCGUGGGUAACCUGCCUUAAACAGGGGGAUACCGUGUAGAAAUGCACUGCUAAAACCGCAUAAGCUACCGAAGUCGCAUGACAUUGGUGGAAAAACUGAGGUGGUAUAGGAUGGGCCCGCGUCUGAUUAGCUAGUUGGAGAGGUAAAGGCUCCCCAAGGCGACGAUCAGUAGCCGGUCUGAGAGGAUGGACGGCCACAUUGGGACUGAGACACGGCCCAAACUCCUACGGGAGGCAGCAGUGGGGAAUAUUGCACAAUGGGGGAAACCCUGAUGCAGCGAUGCCGCGUGAAGGAAGAAGGACUUCGGUUCGUAAACUUCUAUCAGCAAGGAAGAGGACACUUCAAGGGAAGUGAGACAGUACUUGAGUAAGCAGCCCCGGCUAACUACGUGCCAGCAGCCGCGGUAAUACGUAGGGGGCGAGCGUUAUCCGGAAUUACUGGGUGUAAAGGGUGCGUAGGCGGCAACGUAAGUCUGUUGUGAAAGGUGAUGGCUUAACCAGCGAAGUGCAAUGGAAACUGCGGAGCUAGAGUGCAGAGGUAAGCGGAAUUCCUAGUGUAGCGGUGAAAUGCGUAGAUAUUAGGAAGAACACCAGUGGCGAAGGCGGCUUUCUGGACUGCAACUGACGCUGAGGCACGAAAGCGUGGGGAGCAAACAGGAUUAGAUACCCUGGUAGUCCACGCUGUAAACGAUGAAUGCUAGGUGUUGGGUCCGAAGGACUCGGUGCCGAAGUUAACGCAUUAAGC